AACUGUGUGCUGCCACCUUGCCUGUGUUAUUUCUACAACAGAAAUUGUUCACUAAUUCUGUUCUUAACUCCGUCAGAAUAUUUCUCUGUCAUUACUCUUUGACAUGAAAGGAAACGUAUUUUAGAAAGAUCGCUGUGUUUAAUGUAGACUAUAAGAUGUGUUCUUCUAUGUCAGACAGCUGAAUGUUGCUUCACAUUUUUUGUGCACCUGACAGCUGUUUUUGAAGAAUGCUAGUUGCUUGUUUUGCAGUGAUGUCUAAUUUGUCCACUGACAGGCUAGUUGGGAGGCACUGGAGGAGACUGUGAGUGGUUGAUGUCAGGAUAGAUCCUGUUUUCAUAACUCACAGACUCAAAGAAUGAACUGAGGAUGUGUCGAAGGGUUCUGAUAAGUGCUUUAUCUCUGUUUUAAAUGCCUUUUUUACUGCAGGGCUGAGAACAGAAGGAGAGAGAAAGAGAGAGAUAUGGAUAAAAAAUAUGCAGAGCAAAAUGAAUGGACAGAGACGCACAGCGAAUGAGGGAGGAGAGGAAGAGGAGCAGAGGAAGGCGAUGGGGGAAUUUAAGUGCAGAGACAGAAGCGAUAAAGAAGAGAUGGCAUACCAAAUCAACUCACCCUGGGAGAGAGAAGCCACAGCGAGAGAGGGAGGAAGAGAGAAAAGGAGGGAGGGGGAGCCAGAGAGCGUGGUUGCCACGGGGCUGAGUGACAGAAAUUAAUAAUUAGUGACAAUGAUUGACAGCGCACUCUCCAUCUGCGGCCCGCCGCUGCCUCCGAGCGCUUGCCUCCGCCGGCGACCGCGGGCACAAUGAGCUCCAGCGGGAUUCUGAGAGACGCUGAUGAUUGACAACUGCCUCCUGGAGAGAUGGGGACAGCCAGUGUGUAGGGGUGACGUGGAGAGGGGAACGAGAAGGAGGAGGAGGGCUCCUUCACCUCUGUGUUCUCAGGGAGAGUGACCUAACCUGAAAAUAAUUACAACUACUGAACUGUCACUGCACCCUCCACCUCAUCUCCAGCCCUUAUCGCCAAAAACACGCACCCCACAGUCCACUCUCUUUCUCUCUUUAUCCCCCCCACCCCUCCUCAGCGGGGCCCCAAAACUGUCGUAAUUGCCUUUUAAAAUAGUUUAGCAUCUCCCUCAGAGAGCAGAAAAGUUUCCCCAGUAUGGCACUGGAGGAAGAGGGAGUUGUUUUGCAGCGCUGCCGUGGAAACAGAGACGAGAGGAAUUGAAAUGAUCUUGACUUCUGACCAUCUUCGUCUCCUGGGGGGGGGGACCGGCAUAGGAUAGAAGAGCGCACUAUGACUUCUCUUCACUGUUUAAAGACUUGUAUGGAAAAUAUAAUUUGGUUGUGGCAGGCUGAGAAAGAUGCAUUGGCUUUUGGUUUGCCACUCAUGAAAGUCUUUUUAUUUGAAUAUAUUUUUGAAUGCAAUUUUGUUUCAAACUUGAAUGAUUUUGCUUGUUUUUCAUGACUGAGGUUAGUUUUUUCACUGGUGUCCAACAAUAGUUUUGGAAUCAGUCCAUCUUUAUGCAGACAAAAUGACCACCUUUGAAAGAAGUUGUAGUGGCAUCUGAAUUUUUACAUCCUCUACUAGUAGAAACUCUUGUAAAAAAAUAUCACCCAUGCUGCUGCUUUUUUUAUGAUUUUUUUUUUUUUUUUAUUGAAUGCUGUUAUUCCACAGUCAGUCUAAAGUUCAUUUUACAGUCAUUAUUGUUCAGAGACAAAAAGGUUCAAACAUUGGUACACUGUAUAACAUUUUAAACACCUAAGUAUAACACAGAUUCUUUAUGCUUGGGACAAGACAGGCUACAUAAAAGGGAAAAAAAAUAUUACGAAACAAUAAUUAUUCAUUUAUUUCUAUUUUUUUUUUUUCUCUAUUAUUAUUAUUAUUGGUAACAAUUUAUUUUGAUGGUCCACUUUAGACAUUGUACUAACUAUAAGUAACUUUCCAACUACAUCAACUAACUCUCAUUAGAGUAUUAUUAGAGUAUUAGUAGACUGUCUGCAUUAAUUAUUUACACAUAAAUAUUAACACAUUAUUUUGAUGGUCCCUCAACAGACAUUCUAUUGACUACUACAUGUAAACAUGUUCUACUAACCUGAACCCUAACACCUAACCUAACGAGUCUACUGAUACUCUAAUGACAGUUAGUUGAUAUGUAGUUGCAAAGUUACUUAUAGUUAGUAGAAUGUCUAAAGUGGACCAUUGAAAUAAAGUGUAACCUUGUUAGUAUUAUAAUUCGUAGUAUUAAUGAUAGUGUGUGAGUGUCUCAAGAUUUACUGACAUCUGAUUAAUUGUAAUGAUUUCAUAGUAUAUAUUUUUAAGGAUAAUUUGGUAAAAUAUUACUCCCAAGGCAUAGGAAAUCUCAGCCCAGGCUCAUUUGAAAAACGUACCUGUGUCAACAUUUUUGCAAAACGCAAAAUACGUUGCGUCGUGUAAGUUUCGCGACAGUUUCAAAGUGAAAUGUAAAAUGUAAAAAAUCAGUUUGAAUGUCCGCUGUGAUCUUGCCUUUUAACAGUUAAUGGGUUUCCCCGUGCCCUGCUGACACUGACAGUGCUAGUCAAAGUUUUUGUCAUUUGCGUCUUGUUCCGUGUUCACAGCAAGUUUCAAUAUAAAAGUCUUUGCGACUGAGUGACUCACUCACAAAGACAAUCUUUGCCACCAUCUAAUGGCGUAAUAAAUGUAACCUCUCUUGCUGUUCACGGUCAGGGACUAUUUUUUCCAGCGGAAGGAAGACUUAGUGAUUUUACUUCAUGAAAGUUGCAUUGAUACUUAUUUUUUGGCUUUAAUAUUUGUAUUGUGUGGUAACCGUUUUAUAAAAGCAAUAAGCCAGUGAAGCCAUGGUUUACCAUGAAUUUAUAACAGCUAAAUUAUAGCUGUUAUAAACUCCGCUCCACGUCGUGCCUAACAACGCCUUUUAGCUGUUAUAAAUUCACUGUAAACCACAGCUUCUUGGGGCUUAUUGCUUUAGCCCAUCACGUUUAAUAACGUACACCUACACUAAACCCUAAACCUACCUGAUAGUGUUAAUAAAAGCAAAUGUGACAUAAAAACACAAUCGUAACCAUGGCAAUUGUUUUUGAACUCUUGUCUUUGAGCUCUUUUACUGUGACUCGUCUUUCACGGUAUUCGUACUGGAGCUCUUCGCAUUGCAAGUACAAUUCUGUACCAGCUGAACUAUCGAGCAAGCUUGUUAUGUCAGUAAAACUGAACAUCUGGAGCUGGGUGAGUGAUGCAAACUCCAAAAUAUAAUUUGUUUACAAAUCAUGCACUAUGGUAAAAAGUGUUUUGAGGUCAUAACAUUAUUGUGCAAGGUGCCUCGUGAAAACAAGUCUUUAUUAAUCCAUAAUCUGGACCUGUAAUCAUAAAUGUGUGUAAACAAUUAAAAGUGCUUGCUGUUUUACUGCCUCUAGUGUUCAUUUCUGUUAGAAACUGCAGUCAUAUGUACGUAUUGGUACGUAUUUUGCGUUUUGCAAAAAUAUUGAAACCCAGGUAUGUUUUUCCAAUAAGCCUCUAUGGGAUGGAGAGGACCAGUGAGCCAGAAUAAAGCAAAAUACAGACUUAUAAAAGCUCCCUAAAGAGUGUUUUAUUUAUUUAAUUGUUUUGCACGGUAGUGUCAUGUAGCCCCAGGCAUCAAGCAUCUUCCACUCCUGGGAAAUAAAGGAGAGAGUGUGGUUAGAGAAACCCAAUUGGGAUAUUGAUAAGAGGUUUAGAAUCUGCUCAGAGGACAGAGCCAUAUGAAUAUUUGCAUAUACACUCCUCUUUCCUUCUAUUAUGAACCACACCUCAGAAGCUUUUUGUAUAGAAUUCUUAUUUACCAUGAUGCAAAUUUGUUUCUGUGACUUCUACUCAAAAUUGCCAUGUUAAAUUAUGGGACAGCCUCCAAAACCAAGCCAACUGGAAUUUAAAUGCAAUUAAAGUUGCUGAUUAUUGUAUUGUUUAAUCAUGUAAUGAAAUAGCAAAUUUAUUUAUUUUUUCUUCGUUUUUUCUUCUGUUUCCACCUCAGAGUAAAACCCAAAACAAGUUAUUGUAAGAUAAAGUUUAAUGUAAGAAAUUAAGUCAGACCGUAAGAUAUGAAGUCACAUUUAUAAGAAAUUAAGAUGCAUUUGUGAGUUACAAUUGCCUUUCAAUUAUUUUUGUUCUGAGAUGGAAACAAGCUUCCAUAGGCACUUUAAAAAAUUAUAAUAAUAAUAAUAAAAAAAUGCAUGAUGCCCCUCAAUUAAAGAGACAUUCUUCUUUUACUAACCCAUUAAAAUGUCUGAUUCAUUUAAAGACA